GACGAACGCUGGCGGCGUGCCUAAUACAUGCAAGUCGAACGCUUCUUUCCUCCCGAGUGCUUGCACUCAAUUGGAAAGAGGAGUGGCGGACGGGUGAGUAACACGUGGGUAACCUACCCAUCAGAGGGGGAUAACACUUGGAAACAGGUGCUAAUACCGCAUAACAGUUUAUGCCGCAUGGCAUAAGAGUGAAAGGUGCUUUCGGGUGUCGCUGAUGGAUGGACCCGCGGUGCAUUAGCUAGUUGGUGAGGUAACGGCUCACCAAGGCCACGAUGCAUAGCCGACCUGAGAGGGUGAUCGGCCACACUGGGACUGAGACACGGCCCAGACUCCUACGGGAGGCAGCAGUAGGGAAUCUUCGGCAAUGGACGAAAGUCUGACCGAGCAACGCCGCGUGAGUGAAGAAGGUUUUCGGAUCGUAAAACUCUGUUGUUAGAGAAGAACAAGGACGUUAGUAACUGAACGUCCCCUGACGGUAUCUAACCAGAAAGCCACGGCUAACUACGUGCCAGCAGCCGCGGUAAUACGUAGGUGGCAAGCGUUGUCCGGAUUUAUUGGGCGUAAAGCGAGCGCAGGCGGUUUCUUAAGUCUGAUGUGAAAGCCCCCGGCUCAACCGGGGAGGGUCAUCGGAAACUGGGAGACUUGAGUGCAGAAGAGGAGAGUGGAAUUCCAUGUGUAGCGGUGAAAUGCGUAGAUAUAUGGAGGAACACCAGUGGCGAAGGCGGCUCUCUGGUCUGUAACUGACGCUGAGGCUCGAAAGCGUGGGGAGCAAAC
rnacentral:rRNA from 1 species